rnacentral:rRNA from 1 species
UACAGAGGUCUCAAGCGUUGUUCGGAUUCAUUGGGCGUAAAGGGUGCGUAGGCGGCGCGGUAAGUCGGGUGUGAAAUCUUGAGCUUAACUCCGAAACUGCAUUCGAUACUGCCGUGCUUGAGGACUGGAGAGGAGACUGGAAUUUACGGUGUAGCGGUGAAAUGCGUAGAUAUCGUAAGGAAGACCAGUGGCGAAGGCGGGUCUCUGGACAGUUCCUGACGCUGAGGCACGAAGGUCAGGGGAGCAAACGGG